UGGUUCUGGCAACGAUGAAGAACGCAGCGAAAUGCGAUAAGUAAUGCGAAUUGCAGAAUUCCAGUGAGUCAUCGAAUCUUUGAACGCACAUUGCGCCCUUUGGUAUUCCGAAGGGCAUGCCUGUUCGAGCGUCAUUAUCACCCCUCAAGCCCUGUGCUUGGUGUUGGACGGCCGGUCGAGCGAUCGACCCCUCCUAAAGACAAUGACGGCGGCCUGUGGUUCCCCCGGUACACUGAGCUUUUCAAUGAGCACGUAUCGGACAGGGGCGCCCAGGACCCGGUCCUCUCCUUUCGUUAGGAAACUUCUCAAGGUUGACCUCGGAUCAGGUAGGAAUACGCGCUGA
rnacentral:misc_RNA from 1 species